rnacentral:misc_RNA from 1 species
AGACGGCGGAGGAGCAGUUG